UUCAAACUUUUAACUUUACUCAUCCCGGAAUCUUUAAAACAUAAUUCAUCAACUGUAUAUUCGCUAUACCCCACUUCAUGCACUUCUAUGCUAUUAUAGUUACUUUACAAAAUAAUAGUAAAGCUACAUCUCGUAUUCAAAAAGAUUAUUUCUAUUCAGCAUAAUUACUGGGUAUAACAACAUUUACACUACUCAAUUAAAUCACUUUACAACAAGUAGCCUUAGCUCAGUACAGUCUAAACUUGAUGAAGCAAUACAUCUUUAAUACUCAUGUCUCAUCACAAAUCUUCGUUGUUAGGACCAUCUGAUAAAUCAACAUUUAUCUGCAAAAUUGUUUGCAAGAUUGAGCACUACGGCCCAACAAGUCUAACAGUUUUCAUGCUUCACAUAGCACAUAAUAUCAUGCUUAUAUCAUAUCUCAAGAUUAUUAAAAUUUAAGUAACAUUUGUAUUUCACACAUGUUGACAUUGUCAUAUUUCAUCCUUAUGUUUUGAUGAUGAAAUGUUUAAAUACUAAAUUGUUUUAUGAUGUUUCAGGUAUUUGUUGAUAAAACAACAUUGACGGAAUUUUCAAUUAGACGAAGAACUUUUUCUUUCUAGGAAAACAAAUGUAAGAUCAAUUGCAUAAUAAUUGAUUUUUCAUUUAAAGGCUAUAGGACAUAUUAUUUGCGUUAUAUUUUGUUAUAUGUCUUAAAUGAAAAAUGAUUUAAAAAGAAUUCUUAUGAAAAAGGUUUUUCUAAAAAUAAUAUAUCACUUAAAAUAUUAGCUUGUAUGUCUAAUAGAUUACAUAAGUGAUAUAUGGGUGAUUAAUUGAAAUGCUACACGUGGAUAUCUAGAGGUUGUCAGCUAUACUUUAUGAUUUGUUGCACGUGCAUAUCCGGUUGUGAUAUGAGUACUUCAUGCUUGCUAACCAUUUAUUGUGAUAAGAUGUUUGUGAGAGUUUCAAGGAGAAAUAAUUAUGGGUAUCUUGGAUUUUUAAAAGACCUUGAUUCUUGAAAAAGAUAUGGAAUGGUUCACUCCACUAUUUCACACGUCACAUACCACUUUAUGAGAUAAAGUCAAAGAUUGUUUUUAAGUGGGUUACUUGAAUAGGCUUUGGAAAUCAUAUAUAGAGUAUUACUUGUGGUGGCAGGAGUUAUGAUGACAAAGACAUAAAUGCAAGAACUCUAUUUCAGAUAAUCAGUCAAACAUAUAUCUGUUAUAUAAGAGUUAUUUUCGGAUCUAUUUCAAACUGAUUAUUUUUUAUCCGAGUAAAAAGCUUUUAACGAAAAUAAUUCUGGAACAUCACUUAUCUUAAAUUCUGUUGGCAACGUAAAUAAAUUUACAACGGAUCUUUGCAUACAACAGAAAUAUUUUUAGCUAUAAAAGAAGUACUGAGAUCAGUGUUUGGUACACAACUCACGAAAAUAUUUCUUUCACUUAUUACUGUUAUUAUCGAGCAAAUUGAUUUUGUCAAUGCAAUCUUUGAGAAGCUAAGCAAUUAAAUUUCUGAUAUUAUUUGAGCUGGUAUUUGGUAAGAAAUUAAUUGUUUAUUUAUUUUGUGCUAAUUGAUCAUUGCAUAUAGUUGAGCCUUUAAUUGUUAAAUUGAUUAUUUUUGUAUUGAUCAUAGACCUCUAUAUUUGUAUUGGAUUUUUAUUUAGACUAAGUGUAGUCUAAAGGUGUUAAUCCUAGUGGAUUAGAGAAAAGGGUUACAAACAGGUUCAAGGAAGCAAAGGUGCUUGAAGAGUGCAUAGGUGCAUAAGGAGCAAGAGAGCUCAAGAGAAAAUUAAGUGUUAAUUAAUUUUUGUUAGAAUCUGUUUUGUAAUCUGUAUUUAUUUAUAAAGAAAUAAAUAAAGUGAGUCUCCAAUACUAGUUGGUAUUGGGCGUGGACUAGAUUAUUAUUAUAGAGGGUAAUAGCUGAACCACGUAAAAAAUCUUGGUAUUGAUUUUAUUAUUUGCUUUACUUUAAAAUCACAUAAGCUAUUUUAAUUAUCUUAAUAAUUAAAAUUUGAAUACUUAUAUUAUAUUAAGAUAUCUCUUUAACAUAAAGUAUUUUACUUAAGAUAUAAAUUCAGUAGGAUAUUUUCUUUAAUAUGCUAUAUUAAUUCAGUAAGCUGAUUUCAAUCAUUAUAGUAGCCUGAAGUUAAUAAUUUAAUUUAAAGUUUAAAAGUUGGUCAUAGAUUGCUCCCACACUUAUUCAACCCCCCCUUCUAAGUGUGCCUAGAUAAAUUUCAACACAUAUCAAAUAUCAAAUCAAGACUGAAUUUUAAAACUCAAUCAAAUUUAGUCAAUAGUUGACUUUCAUCAUUUCACAAGUAUAACAUGUAAUCCAUGUAAUCAUGUCAAAUUCAUAUAACAAAUAGGAGCUGGAAAACUUACCUCUUUGAUGCGAAGCUAUUAAUUUUACGCGAUUACACGUAUUCGAGGUAUUAUGCUCCUGUAUAGCACCAAUAUACACAUAAUGUUAUUACAAUGUAUAACAUUACCAUAUUCUACAAAUUCUAUUUAAAUUUGUGUUUUGCAAGUCUAAUAUCUCAUUCUUAACUUCUCUUAUUUUAAUAAGUUUGCUACAUAUGUAUGUGGUAUAAAUCUUAUUAGCUUUUACUAGGUUAAUAAACCAACCCACUUAUUUUUCGAAUACCUCAUCCAUGCUUAAAUGUGAAUUUUUUUUAUUGGUACCUCGUUGAAUACAAAGAUAGACAAAAAUAAAUACACCUUCGAUUAAACAAGGCUAGCUUUUCCUUGUAUAAUCAAAAUAUAAAACAUAAGUUACAACAUGCCUCCUCACUUCAUUUGAGACUAACUAUAUUAACUUAUAAAUCUUUUAGUUUGUACAGCUAAUUAUAAUCGAACCCUACACUUUUCAACUUUAUACUUUUAUAAUCUUAAGUUCUUAAGAUUUUACCAUGUUUUAGAUUAGUUAACUAAUCCUUAAUCCGUUUCUGAAUUUAUUUCAUCAUGUCGUUGCUAUUUUGCAUUAUUAAUGUCGUGCAUAUUACUUUAUGUAUUAAAGCUUAUUGCUUAACAUGAAACACGUUCCAUAAUUUCAACUUAACUCGAACAUAUUAAGAUUAACAACUGAAUUCUAAUUUAUCAACCAUAUUGGGUUCAAUUAAUGGUUAAAUUAUAAAUUAAUUAUAUAUUAUUAUAUAUCUUAACUCUUUUAAUGCUCAACACCCACAAUCGAAAUCAAAACGCAAGGCGAAACGCUGCUCGACAGCUGGUUGCCAGGCGUCUGCCCAUGCGUUGCACGCUUCUGGGCCAACUACCUGGUGCAGCUGCUGCCCUGCCCCCAGCUCCGCCUUAUUAUAAUGGUUACUUUGUGAUUUUAAAACUAUAAAUCUACAUUUUCAUUAACCUUCGAACUUGGGCAGCAUUAAGAUUGUAUUUCAUAGUAUUUUAGAAAAAUAUAACUCUUCUAAUUUGGGCAUCCUAGACAGGUUAAACAGAGGGCUAAAACUGCCUUGUCGAAACAGUUUUCAAUUUUUUUUUCCAACUGUACCCUCUCUUGCUCAAACAGCCAUAACCUUUUCGUUUCAAAACAUUUUUGAGCUAUUCUUGAGCCCACACGAAGCUAACUUCCGGGACUACAACUCCUAUUUAAUAACCUUUUCCAAAUCCUGCACCCAUAAUUCCAGAAAAUUCUUGUAAGGGGCUGCUUUGAAUCUGUUUUCCAGAUUUGGGCAGUUUCAACGCACCCACUUUGGCACGUCUUAACUCAGUCGUCCGAACUCAGAAUUAGUCCAUUCCAAAGGCUAUGGCUAGCUGGGAUUGCACACUACUAGACCCCUGAAACUUAAAAUUUUCCAAAAAAUAUAACUAUCCAAAACAGUUAGCCAAAAGUAGUCUGACACUAACUUUUAAAAUUUUCAUUUUGGCUUAAAAUUGCUUUUCGUUCUAAUUCGAUUUACCCAAACUCUUUAAUUAUUUAUAUAUAACAUAUAUGCAUAUAUCUUGACUCUUAGCUUUGCCUAAUUAGGAGUUUUUAGGCAAAAUGGCCCUUUUAGGACUUUAAUCGAACAUGUCGUGUGCGACUAUAAUGGGCUGAGAUCAUGUGGUUUUGUUUUUGUUUCAUUCCCAUUUUGCCAUCCUUAUAACUCCGCACAACAAUUACUAAAAUCCAUGGUUCUAAUAUCAAUCCACUACAACCAAUACACAAAGAAAACUAUACAUAUUAUCUAUUUCAUAAAUUAGUUUACUAACUUUGAAACUUUGAACAAAUUUCAUUCCUUUAGUUUCUAAAACAUACCUUAUAUUAUAAACUUCAUUGAGCUUAGUUACCAAUUGAUUUCGUAGCCCAUUAACAUACAAAUUAACUAAUUAACUAAUUAUCUACAUAUACUAACUAACUGAUUCAAUUUAUCAUGAAUUUCAUAAAAAAAAACAUAAUACAUACUAAUAUAUACCUUUCUUGCUUAGUUAUGGUUUCACUAUCUUUUAUGCUUUAUUCCAGCUGCCCAAUCAAUUCUUGAAGAUUCUAUUUUCGUUUUAGCCGAACAGAGUGGGAUGGAAUUACGCAUGGAUGGACUGAGGAUUGAGAGGGAAAGUGGCGGGUGGAGCUUGGCCAGGAAAGAGUAAAAAAUUUUAAUUUGGUUUUGAAUUUAUAGCAACCCUUUCCUUGUUCCCCAAAAAUUUUGCUGGGCCAUUACGUAUAAGAAUUUUUGAAUUUUAAGCCUAUACUUCCUUCUUCAUGCCAACUCCUACUUAAUAAAGUUUCUGUUUAACACAGCUCAUGUUUUA
rnacentral:lncRNA from 1 species